ACAAAUCAGUGCUUCCCCCUACCUGUGGAUUGAUUGCUGUUUGUUAAACCUUUGCCAGAACACCACUGCCUCCAAUCUUCUGUUGGAUAUAUGUGUAUCACCUUUGGGCCAUCCUGGCUAGUGGGUGGUGCCUUCUCUGUGGUAGGCAUGAAAAUGUUGGCCUUCUGAAGGGAGGCAUUUACGAGCAUUUUGUAGGUAUUCUGUGGAACCUAUUGCCAAAUUUCCUCAUGUGGGAAGCUCCCGAUAUGCCUCUUCAUUUUAGCCUCUGAGCCUCUUGCGACAAUGUCCUUUGCCAGUGGAUAGCCCUCAUGUGUAUACCAUUAGCAAAGGAGAUCAAGCCUGCCAUCUUCCUUGAUGCCCCUCUGACCCACCAGAUAAAGUAGGGCCUGAAGAUGAAGCAACAUGGUGAUCUGGAUAAAAAGUUCACAGUUAAUCUAAGUAACAGUGACUGCCCUGAGUUGGCUUCUCCAAGAAGCAGUUUCUGAGAUGGAGCUUAGUGUAGAGGAAAUUUAUUAAGGUGAAGGCAAGAGAGGAAGAAAACUUGGGCAGAAGAAGACGUUGGCCUGACAUGUCAUCCUAACAAGGCCUCUCCCUACAUGUGGGGGCGCUGAAGCUGGAACAGUCCUCCAGACUUGUCCUGACUUGCACUGAUCAGUCAUCAUGUUAUGUGGUCAUCAAAGGGCACAUGACCUUCGGCGGGGGGCCUUCUUCCACUGAGGUGAUUCCCAAAGAGGACUAAUAGGCCACCACCUUCCUACCUAUGGGAAGAUACAUCUGUGUCCUGAAGGGAGGAUAUGACUGUGGCACGGCACCCAUGAGGGCCCUUUCCUUAUGCUGCUUGGAUCUACUUAUUAUGUAUAAAUUCGGGGGGCACCCCCUACAGGAUUCUGAGCAGGUUGGCAGUCCACACACGGAAGGAGUCUCGGGUUCCUCUUCAAGUACAUCUAGAUUGUGAGUUCCUGAGACCAAGAACUUUGCCUUCUCUGCAGCGUCUGGAACAGUGCUCAGCUCGUCUGUCAUGCUCAGCUAGCACUGCUGUUGACAGCUUUCACACUGACUGUACAGAAAGAUGGUUUACUUGUAAUUCUCAGAACUAUUGCGCACUCUCACCAUAGGCAAGAUAUCACCUAGUUUAUGUAGGAGCUGCUGGCCAGAUGAUGGACAGACACAUAUGGCAUAAAGUUUCAGU